GGGGGAUAUUGCGCAAUGGGGGCAACCCUGACGCAGCAACGCCGCGUGAAGGAUGAAGGUUUUCGGAUUGUAAACUUCUUUUAUUAAGGACGAAACUUGACGGUACUUAAUGAAUAAGCUCCGGCUAACUACGUGCCAGCAGCCGCGGUAAUACGUAGGGAGCAAGCGUUGUCCGGAUUUACUGGGUGUAAAGGGUGCGUAGGCGGCUUUGCAAGUCAGAUGUGAAAUCUAUGGGCUCAACCCAUAAACUGCAUUUGAAACUGUAGAGCUUGAGUGAAGUAGAGGCAGGCGGAAUUCCCCGUGUAGCGGUGAAAUGCGUAGAGAUGGGGAGGAACACCAGUGGCGAAGGCGGCCUGCUGGGCUUUAACUGACGCUGAGGCACGAAAGCGUGGGUAGCAAACAGGAUUAGAUACCCUGGUAGUCCACGCUGUAAACGAUGAUUACUAGGUGUGGGGGGUCUGACCCCUUCCGUGCCGGAGUUAACACAAUAAGUAAUCCACCUGGGGAGUACGGCCGCAAGGUUGAAACUCAAAGGAAUUGACGGGGGCCCGCACAAGCAGUGGAGUAUGUGGUUUAAUUCGAAGCAACGCGAAGGACCUUACCAGGUCUUGACAUCCAACUAACGAAGUAGAGAUACAUUAGGUGCCCUUCGGGGAAAGUUGAGACAGGUGGUGCAUGGUUGUCGUCAGCUCGUGUCGUGAGAUGUUGGGUUAAGUCCCGCAACGAGCGCAACCCUUGCUAUUAGUUGCUACGCAAGAGCACUCUAAUAGGACUGCCGUUGACAAAACGGAGGAAGGUGGGGACGACGUCAAAUCAUCAUGCCCCUUAUGACCUGGGCUACACACGUACUACAAUGGAUGUUAACAGAGGGAAGCAAGACAGCGAUGUGGAGCAAACCCCUAAAAACAUUCUCAGUUCAGAUUGCAGGCUGCAACCCGCCUGCAUGAAGAUGGAAUUGCUAGUAAUCGCGGAUCAGCAUGCCGCGGUGAAUACGUUCCCG
rnacentral:rRNA from 1 species